rnacentral:lncRNA from 1 species
ACUUUCAAUCAACCUCAUAAGCACAAACACAAACUACCGACUAUUAAUCAGCUUGCCGACCAACAGGCGGUUAUCCUCAAUCAUCAACAAACUCCAACUAUGAUAACUCGACUGAUGUCAGAUCGAUAACCAUCGACAUAGCAGAGUUACCGAUCGAUGAUCAUUCAGACUUUCAUAAUUGCCGAUAUACGAUUGACAUAUUC